GUACUGCUGAGGAGUCUCAUAUUAUGACGAAACAGUCGUCCAGUAC
rnacentral:hammerhead_ribozyme from 1 species